rnacentral:ncRNA from 1 species
UUGUUUGUUUGUGUAGGUGCGUGAGACUUUUGAGGAGCCUCCUACUGGAUUGAUACCUUGGUUCUCAAAAAUUGAGGGAAAUACUUACGCUACUAUUGCUGCAUCACCCUUUCCUCUUCAAGGAAAACCAACGCAAGCUCAAGACGUAGCAGUCAGGUAAAGGCUGACCAAGCCAAUGAUGCUUAGCUGGUCUUUUCAGAUGAUCAGCCACACUGGGACUGAGACACGGGCCGGACUCCCACGGGGGGCAGCAGUGGGGAAUUUUGGACAAGGGCGAAAGCCCGAUCUAGCAAUAUCGUGUGAGUGAAGAAGGGCAAUGCCGCUUGUAAAGCUCUUUCAUUGAGUGCGUGAUCAUGACAAGACUCGAGGAAGAAGCCCCGGCUAACUCUGUGCCAGCAGCCGCAGUAAGACGGGGGGUGGGGGGGCAAGUGUUCUUUGGAAUGACUGGGCGUAAAGGGCACGUAGGCGGUGAAUCAGGUAGAAAGUGAAAAUUGCCAAAAAGUGGCGGAAUGCUCUCAAAACCAAUUCACUAUUCGAGGAACCCUAGAUGUUGUCGCAGUAAAGAAUCGUC